UACGAAGGGGGCUAGCGUUGUUCGGAAUCACUGGGCGUAAAGCGCACGUAGGCGGAUUUGUCAGUCAGGGGUGAAAUCCCGGAGCUCAACUUCGGAACUGCCUCUGAUACAGCAAGUCUUGAGUUCGAGAGAGGUGGGUGGAAUUCCUAGUGUAGAGGUGAAAUUCGUAGAUAUUAGGAAGAACACCGGUGGCGAAGGCGGCCCACUGGCUCGAUACUGACGCUGAGGUGCGAAAGCGUGGGGAGCAAACAGG
rnacentral:rRNA from 1 species